rnacentral:lncRNA from 10 species
CUGCCCGGUUUUAUAGCCCUGCUUGACCUGUGUGAUCCGAGAAUAAUCUUGUUUAAUCUCCACAAGUUUGAGGACUAAACUGGGUGCCACAGAGAAUUAAGUAACUGGUCGAGGUUGUAUCAGUAAGAAGGGAGCACGGAACAGAUUCAAGCUCAGGGAGCCUGGUUGGACUUCAGGCCCCUGUGAGGCUGACUCUGUAGUCCUGGAGAAACUCAACAGCCAGGAACUUAGGACCAUUUGUGUGUGGCAUUUGGGCUAACCAGACUGGUGGCUUCUAAAGAAGAUGGAAAGCAUCACGUUUCCUGUAUUUAAAUUAUUUGGUGAUCUCAAUACUGGUUGUUAGCCAAAGUACACAAUGGAGACAGCCUAUUUGCUCUACUACUUUUGAUGUAGAAAUAUUACUAAGCUUGAGCUGAUUAAUAGAACUGUUACACAUUUCUGUGCUCCCCUUACUGGUGGCAUGAAAUAAUUCUUUUAAAACCUGCCAUGUGUUCACAUUUAAAACUAAAAGUAAUUUAGAUUACAUGGAUUUGAGAAGCCCAUGUUGACACGUAAUUGCCAACAGAUGGGCUUUCAAAUGUAAUGAAGUGAAAAUGGUCAGUACCCCAUGUGUUGGAUUUUGCAAUUUUCCAAAGUAAGCUGUCAUUUUUGGCAUGUCAUGCUAGUUAAGAACACAAUGUAUUUAUAGCUCAAUUAUACAUUUUCUGAUGAA